ACAGGUCAGUCUAAACGAUCCGCUCUUCCACAUUCCACGGUUACUCCGUAACCACAAAGGUCCAUUCUUUUCUCCAGUGAGAUUGCAUCUCAUCGAUCUCUUAAUCUCUCCACAUCCUUCUCUCUCACGCCGCCAGCUGCCUCGCGGCCCACCGCGCCUCUAGCCUCACAUCCUCCUGCCGCCCCCGUGCGCCUUGCCACGGGUUCACGGACGACCUACCAGCGCACUAAGCCGUCGGCCUACCUCCGCGGCGAAGUUGCCGUGUGGCCGGCUGCCCUGUGCAAUUCGGAUCUUGAGAGAUUGGAGCAAAGUGAGGAAAUCAGAUUGGAGUUUUUAUUUUCUUCCUUUCCUGGGGUCAAAAUUAUACAGGUGAACAUGAACCUUGCACAAUUUUCUGUUUGGUGACUAUGGCGAUUUGUUCUAUGCCGAUUCAUUUAGUCGAAACACCAGGACUAGCCACUGAACUCUGGUCAUCAAGCUGUUGGUCAUCUUAUUAUCUUAUUUAUAUCAAGAUGGAUGCUCUGCCCAAAAUAUGCGUGGCUGCCGGUGACUACGAGGUGUUUCCUCACUUCUGCAUUUCAGUUACGUGGCAUAGGGACUAAUCCAAGGCAUGCAUAGCCAAACCAAGAUCAAUCUUCCAUGCUCAAGGUCAUCUGCAAUUAGAAAUUUAGAAUCACUGUUUUUGUACCUGACUACCGGAAACCUGAGGUAUAUAAUGAUAAGAUAUGGUCAUUAUGCUUGAUUUUCUUCAGAGACAUGGAUCUGUUAUUUUUUUUAUCCCAUGAUGUAUCUUUCCUCCCUCAAAUAUGAAAACGCAUUGAGGGGCGACCAUUCCGCAUCCCAUGAUUUGAUGAGAUUAAAUGAGAAGUAUGAAAGGCUAGCUGUAGCAUUAGAAAAACAAAAGUUAAUGAUGUUCAGUUGUAUGGGAAGAUUUGGUAUGUCCAGGACUACAAUCAUGAGAAGAUUCUUUCUAGAGGACCAAAGAUGGUUUAGUAUAAGUCCUUACGACGGAUUUACAUACUUCAUAUUAUCUAGCAUUUGACCUUUGUUAUGUUGCAGCUAGAUAUUGAAAUUGGUUCUUCAGAUGUGGAAACAAAGUACAGGCAUGUCAUAAAUCCUUUUGGUGCCUUUUCAAGGAAGGCAGAUAUAUGUGAACAUAUCAUCAGCAACAUGUGUUAUUUAUGGUGUUCUGCAAUUGCAAAUGAUGAACUGACCAAGUGGUUCUUCUAGGUGUAAGAUAUUGGCAUUUAUCGAACAAGUCGAUAAGAUUGCAGUAUUUCAUAGUACUUCUUAAUUAGCUGGCUAUGCUCUUUUCCAGCUUGCUCGUGGGUCACAAGUAAAUGUCGGUACGCCUUUUUUAUUGGCUAUCAUGUUUCUGGAAUACUAUCUAUGAAGUUUAUUCAAGAGAGUAGAGAAUAUAUUUUUUAUCAUUCUUAACGCUGCAUGUCAAGGCUUCCAUUGUAGCCUCCAUCUCCUCGGACCUCUGUCGUCACGACGGUCUAUUUUUGUUAUUUAUAUGAAGAACAUGUGGCACUCGACCUGAAUAUUGGGAUGUUCACCACUGGGACUUUGACACGUUGCUUUGAUGCCGAUAAUAUUUCCAGCUAGAUUUAAUGACCUUUCCAUUUACAUGGUCUUAUUUCAGGUAAAUACCUUUGCUGCCACAAAUAGAGAGAUAUGACUCAUGCGAAUCAGUUAGUAUUAUGUUACCCUACAAUAUUGUAAGGAUAAACUUCCUCUGGUAUGCCAUUGAGGACAAUGAUACAUGAUAGAUGGGAAGUUAAAAGCCACAGCUCAAAUCCGGUAAUUUUUGUGUACUAUAUGGUUGUCUCAGUCCAUGCCAUUUGUAUUCUAUUUUGACUCGCUGAAAUGGAAAAAAUAAUCAGAAUAAUCGUAUUGUCCGAGGUCUAAAAAACGUCAUGCUUGAGAUCAUAAACCUCAAGAAUUAUCUUUUUUUAUGUAGCUCAUAAAUUUCUAUGUAUAAUUUUAUUUUUGUUACAAGCAAAUUCAGGCAACAAGGCGGUACAUGUGGGUCUCAUUGGUUAUCUAUGUAUAGGUUCUCAUGCUCUUUACAGCAUUGUGUCGUACUUACUUUGGCCAAAAAAGAGAAAAUGACACGGUACUCUUUUGCUUUGAUGAACAUGAUGACUGCUUUCAUUACUCAUGAUACUGGAGCUUACUCACUGUCAAGUAUAUCAAUAUACUACAAUGGACAA